GAUGAACGCUGGCGGCGUGCCUAAUACAUGCAAGUCGAGCGAACAGAUGAGGAGCCUGCUCCUCUGACGUUAGCGGCGGACGGGUGAGUAACACGUGGAUAACCUACCUAUAAGACUGGGAUAACUUCGGGAAACCGGAGCUAAUACCGGAUAAUAUAUUGAACCGCAUGGUUCAAUAGUGAAAGACGGUUUUGCUGUCACUUAUAGAUGGAUCCGCGCCGCAUUAGCUAGUUGGUAAGGUAACGGCUUACCAAGGCAACGAUGCGUAGCCGACCUGAGAGGGUGAUCGGCCACACUGGAACUGAGACACGGUCCAGACUCCUACGGGAGGCAGCAGUAGGGAAUCUUCCGCAAUGGGCGAAAGCCUGACGGAGCAACGCCGCGUGAGUGAUGAAGGUCUUCGGAUCGUAAAACUCUGUUAUUAGGGAAGAACAAAUGUGAAAGUAACUAUGCACGUCUUGACGGUACCUAAUCAGAAAGCCACGGCUAACUACGUG
rnacentral:rRNA from 1 species